GCACCUAAAUCUUUCCCACUCCUGUGACCCCGUGCGGGAGUGGUGACAAAUGGUGCUACAGAAUGGCAGAGGAAAUCCAGACAGGUCGCUACACCAAUCAUCCAGGCACCUGUCCCUACAACUCUGCAACAUGU
rnacentral:snoRNA from 13 species